rnacentral:rRNA from 1 species
GACGAACGCUGGCGGCGUGCUUAACACAUGCAAGUCGAACGGAAAGGCCCUGCUUUUGUGGGGUGCUCGAGUGGCGAACGGGUGAGUAACACGUGAGUAACCUGCCCUUGACUUUGGGAUAACUUCAGGAAACUGGGGCUAAUACCGGAUAGGAGCUCCUGCUGCAUGGUGGGGGUUGGAAAGUUUCGGCGGUUGGGGAUGGACUCGCGGCUUAUCAGCUUGUUGGUGGGGUAGUGGCUUACCAAGGCUUUGACGGGUAGCCGGCCUGAGAGGGUGACCGGCCACAUUGGGACUGAGAUACGGCCCAGACUCCUACGGGAGGCAGCAGUGGGGAAUAUUGCACAAUGGGCGGAAGCCUGAUGCAGCAACGCCACGUGCGGGAUGACGGCCUUCGGGUUGUAAACCGCUUUCGCCUGUGACGAAGCGUGAGUGACGGUAAUGGGUAAAGAAGCACCGACUAACUACGUG